UGGGGAAUAUUGCACAAUGGGCGCAAGCCUGAUGCAGCCAUGCCGCGUGUGUGAAGAAGGCCUUCGGGUUGUAAAGCACUUUCAGCGGGGAGGAAGGCGGUGAGGUUAAUAACCUCACCGAUUGACGUUACCCGCAGAAGAAGCACCGGCUAACUCCGUGCCAGCAGCCGCGGUAAUACGGAGGGUGCAAGCGUUAAUCGGAAUUACUGGGCGUAAAGCGCACGCAGGCGGUCUGUCAAGUCGGAUGUGAAAUCCCCGGGCUCAACCUGGGAACUGCAUUCGAAACUGGCAGGCUAGAGUCUUGUAGAGGGAGGUAGAAUUCCAGGUGUAGCGGUGAAAUGCGUAGAGAUCUGGAGGAAUACCGGUGGCGAAGGCGGCCCCCUGGACAAAGACUGACGCUCAGGUGCGAAAGCGUGGGGAGCAAACAGG
rnacentral:rRNA from 1 species